UACGUAGGGGGCUAGCGUUGUCCGGAAUCAUUGGGCGUAAAGCGCGCGUAGGCGGCCCGGUAAGUCCGCUGUAAAAGUCCAGGGCUCAACCCUGGACCUGCAUUCGAUACGGGCAGACUAGAGUUCGGCAGGGGAGACUGGAAUUCCUGGUGUAGCGGUGAAAUGCGCAGAUAUCGGGAGGAACACCGGUGGCGAAGGCGGUUCUCUGGGCCUUACCUGACGCUGAGGAGCGAAAGCGUGGGGAGCGAACAGG
rnacentral:rRNA from 1 species